rnacentral:rRNA from 1 species
AUUGAACUCUGGCGGCAGGCCUACCACAUGCAAGUCGAGCGAGCGGCGGAAGGGUGAUUAAUGGAUGGGGAUCUGCACGAUAGAGGGGGAUAAAUACUGGAAACGGUGGCUAAUACCGCAUACUAUCGGAUGAACCCUUAUUGGAUUAGCUAGUAGGUGGGGUAAAGGCUCACCUAGGCGACGAUCUCUAGCUGGUCUUAGAGGCUGAUCAGCAACACUAGAACUGCGAACCGCCCCAGACUCCUACGUGAGGCAGCAGUGGGGAAUAUUGAACAAUGGGCGCAAGCCUGAUGCAGCCAUGCCGCGUGUAUCAAGAAGGCAUUCGGGUUGGAAAGUACUGUCAGCGGGGAGGCGUUAACCGCAGAAGAAGCACCGGCUAACUCUGUGACAGCAGCCGCGGUAAUAC